GCCUAGCCUUAAACCCAGAUGUGCCUUUACAUACACAUCCGCCCGGGUACUACGAGCACAGCUUAAAACCCAAAGGACUUGGCGGUGUCUCAGACCCACCUAGAGGAGCCUGUUCUAGAACCGAUAACCCUCGUUAAACCUCACCACUUCUUGUUUUACCCGCCUAUAUACCGCCGUCGUCAGCUUACCCUGUGAAGGCCUAACAGUAAGCAAAAUGGGCCCACCCAAAAACGUCAGGUCGAGGUGUAGCGUACGAAGUGGGAAGAAAUGGGCUACAUUUUCUAAUUUAUAGAACACAACGGAUAGCAUUCUGAAAUAAAUGCCUAAAGGUGGAUUUAGCAGUAAAAAGCAAAUAGAGAGUCCUUUUGAAUUAGGCUCUGAGACGCGC
rnacentral:rRNA from 1 species